ensembl:lncRNA
GGACAAUGGUGUAAAACUAAGGUAAAUUACGUUGGCUUGCUCAUCGGAUGUGGUGGCAUCGAACCGCAGUCCAGCCGUACGCAAGCAAUCCAAAACAUAAAGACACCCACUAAUAUCUCUGAGCUACAAAGCUUUCUGGGAGUGUGCAAUUACUUACGACAGUUCAUCGAGAACUACGCUGACAUCGCACGACCACUAACUUUCCCUCCUGAAAAAGGAUGAACCCUUCAUUUGGUCGGAAGCUCAGGACACAGCUAUGAGCAAGCUCAAAGAACGCCUAUGCUCCGCCCCAUGCCUGGCCUACCCUGACCCAGAAAAAGAAUUCUAUCUGGAAGCUGGAUUCUCCAAUCAUUGCCUCAGUGCAGGCCUCUACCAGCUCCAAGACAAAGACAAACGAGUGGUCGCUUAUGCCAGCAAAACAUUGCUUCCCCCAGAAUGCAAAUACUCAGACUGUGAAAAAGCUUUGCUUUGCACUGUAUGGGCCAUUCAGUGUUUCUCCAAAUACAUUGGAGCACAGAAAGUCAUCAUAGAAACGUGUCACCAACCAGUGACCUUCCUCAACAGCCAACAAAUCAGGGAUGGCGUGGUAACCAACACACGCAUAGCUACAUGGCUAAUGACGCUUCAAGGAUGGGACGUGGAGGCAAAAUAUGCCCAAAACCACAAAUCAUCUCUAGGUAACGGGCUAGCAGCCUGCCAAAACUGUUCAACGGACAUGCUGUACACAUCAGCAGAACCCAAAGAACUGUCACAACCACAACUGACAAACCACAGGUACUUCGAGGAGAAUGUGUGUGAAGGAAUGCCCACAGCAUAUGUCGAUGGCUGCUCUUACAAUCAACAGGGCAACUUGAAAGCUGGAGCUGGUGUGGUCUGGCUCAACAAUGACCCUUGCCCACCGCAACAAUUCAAAUUAGGCCCUUACUCAUCACAAUAUGCAGAAAUAGCGGCCAUCCUCAUCACCCUACAACUUGCUGCAUCCCACAACAUCAAAGAACUCC